rnacentral:rRNA from 1 species
AGUGAACGCUGGCGGCAGGCCUAAUACAUGCAAGUCGAACGGCAGCACAGCAGAGCUUGCUCUGUGGGUGGCGAGUGGCGGACGGGUGAGGAAUACAUGGGAAUCUGCCCAGUCGUGGGGGAUAACGUAUGGAAACGUACGCUAAUACCGCAUGCGCCCUACGGGGGAAAGCUGGGGACCGCAAGGCCUGGCGCGAUUGGAUGAGCCCAUGUUCGAUUAGCUAGUUGGCGGGGUAAAGGCCCACCAAGGCGACGAUCGAUAGCUGGUCUGAGAGGAUGAUCAGCCACACUGGAACUGAGACACGGUCCAGACUCCUACGGGAGGCAGCAGUAGGGAAUAUUGGACAAUGGGGGCAACCCUGAUCCAGCCAUGCCGCGUGAGUGAUGAAGGCCCUAGGGUUGUAAAGCUCUUUUACCCGGGAUGAUAAUGACAGUACCGGGAGAAUAAGCUCCGGCUAACUUCGUGCCAGCAG